rnacentral:lncRNA from 1 species
GUUGUUAUCUAGUUAAGCUGUUCUCUCUUCAAUACUAAUGCUCCACCACUGACAAGUCUCCUCAGCUGACUGAUCUGUUACUCUGUGAGCAUUUGACAGAACACUAAGUGAUACAGAAAAAAUUUAGGUGAUUUCCUAAUUUAAGCAUGCCCUAAAUUGCAGUUACAUCAUACUGAUGUGAAGAGCCUGCAGUGAGCCCUGUGAGCAUCUCUGCCUUCAGAAUGAAACAUGCUUCACAUGAAAGUUUUAUACUGUGCAGCUCAGAAAGAGACUUCUGCAACAACUAUGGGAAGGGCAGAUCUCAGUCAUAAAUAAUGUAUAAUGUAUAAUGAUACAUGGGUCAUUGUUUCUCUGACCAUCAGUCAAAACACAAGAAGAACACAAGAAUGCUUUAACAGGAAUGAUUUGAAAAUUUCAUUCUAGUAACAAACCACUUCAAGAUACAAUCUUCAAGAUCUUCAAGAGACUUGCCUGACUAUUGGCUUGACUGAAUCCUUUAGAAGUUAGUGGGAACUUUCUA